rnacentral:rRNA from 1 species
UACAGAGGGUGCAAGCGUUGCUCGGAAUCAUUGGGCGUAAAGGGUAGGUAGGUGGUCUCAUUUGUCGGGGGUGAAAGCCUUGGGCUUAACCCAAGAAGUGCCCCCGAAACGGUGAGACUCGAGUAUUGGAGAGGCAAGUGGAAUUCCCGGUGUAGCGGUGAAAUGCGUAGAGAUCGGGAGGAACACCAGAGUCGAAGGCGGCUUGCUGGACAAUUACUGACACUCAACUACGAAAGCGUGGGGAGCAAACAGG